GUCGGGCUGUAUCACCGCCUGGUACGGCAACUGCUCCGCCCACAACCGUAAGGCUCGCCAGAGGGUAGUGAGGUCAGCACAACGCAUCACCGGGGGCAAACUACCUGCCCUCCAGGACACCUACACCACCCGAUGUCACAGGAAGGCCAUAAAGAUCAUCAAGGACAACAACCACCCGAGCCACUGCCUGUUCAUCCCGCUAUCAUCCAGAAGGCGAGGUCAGACAGGUGCAUCAAAGCAGGCACCGAGAGACUGAAAAACAGCUUCUAUCUCAAGGCCAUCAGACUGUUAAACAGCCACCACUAACAUUGAGUGGCUGCUGCCAACACACUGACUCAACUCCAGCCACUUUAAUAAUAGGAAUUGAUGGAAAUUGAUGUAAAAUAUAUCACUAGCCACUUUAAACAAUGCUACUUAAUAUAAUGUUUACAUACCCUACAUUACUCAUCUCAUAUGUAUAUACUGUACUCUAUUAUCUACUGCAUCUUUAUGUAAAAUAUGUAUCACUAGCCACUUUAAACUAUGCCACUUUGUUUACAUACCCUACAUUACUCAUCUCAUAUGUAUAUACUGUACUCGACACUAUCUACUGCAUCUUGCCUAUGCUGUUCUGUACCAUCACUCAUUCGUAUAUUUAUGUACAUAUUCUUUAUCCCUUUACACUUGUGUGUAUAAAGUAGUAGUUUUGGAAUUGUUAGGUUAGAUUACUCUGUCAUGUACUGUCAUGUUGUGUCUUGUCUCUGUCCUUUCCCUUCACCCUGUCUCCCUCUGCUGGUCGUUGUUAGGUUACCUUUUCUCCCCCUCUUUCCCCCAGCUGUGUCUUGUCUCUGUCCUUUCCCUUCACCCUGUCUCCCUCUGCUGGUCGUUGUUAGGUUACCUUUUCUCCCCCUCUUUCCCCCAGCUGUGCCUUGUCUCCUCCUAACCACCUUGUCACCCCUUUUCCCACCUGUUCCCUUUUUCCCUCUGAUUAGGUCCCUAUAUCUCUCUCUGUUUCUGCUCCUGUCUUUGUCGGAUUCUUGUUUGUUGUGUUUCAUGCCUGAACCAGACUGUCGUCAUGUUUGCUGUAACCUUGUCUUGUCCUGUCGGAAUCUGCCGGUCCGUCUGAGCCUACCUAUGUUUGGUAAUUAAAGAAGCUCUGUUUAAGUUAAUUCGCUUUUGGGUCCUCAUUCACGCACCGUAACAUACUCGUUGGUUAUUACUGCAUUGUCGGAACUAGAAGCACAAGCAUUUCGCUACACUCGCAUUAACAUCUGCUGUAUGUGUAUGUGACAAUUAAAUUGGAUUUGAUUUGAUUUGGAAGACCCAUUUGCAACCAAGCUUUAACUUCCUGACUGAUGCUGCCUCCCCCGUGCUUGAUGGUUGGGAUGGUGUUCUUUGGCUUGCAAGCCUCCCCCUUUUUCCUCCAAACAUAACGAUGGUUAUUAUUGCCAAACAGUUCUAUUUUUGUUUCAUCCGACUAGAGGACAUUUCUCCCGAAAGUACGAUCUUUGUCCCCAUGUGCAGUUGCAAACCAUAGUCUGUCUUUUUUAUGGCGGUUUUGGAGCAGUGGCUUCUUCCUUGCUGAGCGGCCUUUCAGGUUAUGUCGAUAUAGGACUUGUUUUACUGUGGAUAUAGAUACUUAUGUACCUGUUUCCUCCAGCAUCUUCACAAGGUCCUUUUCUGUUGUUCUGGGAUUGAUUUUAACUUUUCGUACCA
rnacentral:lncRNA from 13 species